rnacentral:lncRNA from 1 species
UAGGAAUAGGGUCAUCUGUAAACGAGGGACCUAAAAUAAAUUGAGAAGGGUCCGAUAUAACGUAUUGUCUAAGUAAAGUAUAAUUGAGAGAUGGAGAAGAAGGAAGAUGAGGAAGCGGAGCCAUUAGAGAAGACAAAAGAAGAAGAAAGAACAAAAGGAGUCUCAGGCAAAGAGGAUGAAGAAAGAAAAGCAAAGGAAAAAGAGAGGAAAAGGGAAGCAUAGGAAAGAAGAAAACAAAAGAGACAAAAGAAAAGGGCCGCCGGAUAGAAUUCCGAAAAAAGAGGCUAAAAGAUGAAGAGACGGCGGCAAUAAAUGA